ACGUACACUCCUGCGGGAGGCAGCAGUGGGGAAUAUUGCACAAUGGGCGCAAGCCUGAUGCAGCCAUGCCGCGUGUGUGAAGAAGGCCUUCGGGUUGUAAAGCACUUUCAGCGGGGAGGAAGGCGAUACGGUUAAUAACCGUGUUGAUUGACGUUACCCGCAGAAGAAGCACCGGCUAACUCCGUGCCAGCAGCCGCGGUAAUACGGAGGGUGCAAGCGUUAAUCGGAAUUACUGGGCGUAAAGCGCACGCAGGCGGUCUGUCAAGUCGGAUGUGAAAUCCCCGGGCUCAACCUGGGAACUGCAUUCGAAACUGGCAGGCUUGAGUCUUGUAGAGGGGGGUAGAAUUCCAGGUGUAGCGGUGAAAUGCGUAGAGAUCUGGAGGAAUACCGGUGGCGAAGGCGGCCCCCUGGACAAAGACUGACGCUCAGGUGCGAAAGCGUGGGGAGCAAACAGGAUUAGAAACCCGUGUAGUCCCAUGA
rnacentral:rRNA from 1 species